AGAUAUUUGCAAAUGACAUAUCAGACAAAGGGCUAAGUAUCCAAAAUCUAUAAAAAACUCACCAAACACCACACCCAAAAAAUAAUCCAGUGAAGAAAUGGGUAGAAAUGUGUGGCCAACCAAAACACUAGUUUAUUUGAAGGUUCCCAGGGAGAAUGCUUGUAGAUAGGCUAUGCCGGUGGUUAAGGGCAGAUCCCACCUCCUAUGUGCGACAAGAGAAAGGGAAGGCAGAUACCUAUUUCCUAGAUUUGACCAAUGCCCAUUUGAAAUGCAGGACCAUGACUCACCUCAUGGUGAUUCCGAUCCCAUUGCUGCUUUUCUAACUUUUCCUCAGUUCACACACCAAGACCAACGUUCUGUCCCAUACCAACCAAGGUCCAAGGAUUGGAGUGAAGAACCAGGCCUUUCCUGAGUCAAUGUAGAGCUCUCAGAGUCAGAUUCCUGAGAGGACAGCUAGCACGCCUGUCCCUGAGCCCUCGAUGCAUAGCAGGCCACACUAUCGUGGGAAUGGAUAGACACAUGAACCCCAGACCCUAAUUGACUGACAUACCCUCGUUUGGAAGAAAAGACAGUGAAUGUGCACAGUGAACCGAUCAGCACACAAAAAGCCUUUUGAAUCAAUGGUGCACCAUAGCCUCGUUCAACCCUAUUGAUCAUCACAGGAAAGCAUAUUCUUCAUGACUGAGAAUAACUACUGCCCCUAUCUCCCGACAUGAUGUGCAAAAGGACAAGCCAAAGCUUCCCUCUAUUUCCUAAGAGAUAAUGUGGGUCUCUUGCUCACAGGGCUCCAAGGGGCAUCCUUUGAGGUACUCCUUUAGCCAACCCCACACGGGUUCUUCUGAUGCCUUAGCGAGCCAGCGUGCUAAUAAUAUAUUGUGCUGAUCACACUGUUCUAAACAUUACCCGAUCUCCUUUAAUGAAGAACUCUGGCCCUCGGUGUACCAAGUUUCAUGACAUUGCUUUCUUCUCCACCACGGUUCCUCUUGGGAUCCCCACAAAUUCAGUUGCCCAGAGUCAUAGCACUGGCUCCCAAAUGUGCAGUGUGGACUAGCCCUUGUGUCUGUGGGACAGGUUGAGUAAAAAGGGGCCCUGGCACUUUGGUUUCAGGAUUCCGUGGACAUCCAGAGCCUUAGGCCAUUCGAAGGGGUCCAGUUGAGAACUGUUUCUGUGGAGGCUGAGCCACAUGUAAUUGAUGCCCAUAGAAAAUUAAGUUUAACAUGCCCUUGCAAAUGGAUCACAUUCCCAUUGGAUGGAAAUGGUGAACGUACAUUGGUCUACCGGAGCCAUUCCCUUUCCUUCCUGUCAUUCUGACUCAGUCUGUGUUCACCCUUCUGAGCCAUGGAGCUGGCACUGACACAGAGGGCACCAAAGGAUGAGGUUUUGUUGCCCACUCAGUCCCUCGCUCAGUGACAGCCAUGAGCAAGGCAUAUCUGAAAGGAGAAUAGCCCUCCAAUUCCUGGGCUUGGUGAUUGGCUGUUUGUAGCAAGGGGUGGGGGAGGCUAGCCAGCUUGCCUCAUUGUUCUGCCUGAUGGAGGGACCUUCCUUCUGAAAAGCAGACAGUUCACACAGGAGCAGGAGUCUCCAGAAGCUGGUCAGCACAAGAAGAGCCCUUUACAGGAAGAGGGUCCCAAAUGCCCCUUUCCACACUUUGGAGGAAGACCUGGGACCCUUUGACUACAGCACUGUCACUGCUUACUCCAUUCAGUGAUUGGAAAUGUGAGAAAAGCAAAGCCCAGGACUCUCUAGGUACUUCUGAAGGAAGAACACAGGCCUGUUGCUCCCAUGGUCCGAGAUGCGGACGCUAGAUGGCGAUGUUGCCUAAGGCUUCUAGUGUUUCUUCUUUUUCCCAUAGCCAGGUUGCCAGGAGCUGGUGCUGGACCCUUCUCCACAUAAUUCCCCUUUCAAUCUCUGAAGACCUCUGACCCUCCUUAUCCACCGUAAUACAUCUUUGCUGUCUUGUAGAAACAAGGUUCUUCCCACAGUCUGUUCAGAGUCAGUGUCUCAUGGUCGUAUCCUCUGCCUUCCACCCGGAGUCUGACUCAGUUCUUGAGACUGUGAGAGAGAUUUUGGCCACAGGGCUCCAUCUUCAGUAAUUCAUUAGAUUCCAGAAGUAUGUGGCUCUCGAUAGGCCCAGGAAUUUUUAGUUGCCCAGUAACGGAUGUUUGUGUGAAGACUGUGCCAGAGAUUUGGGCAGGGAGCUGGCCUCCUUUUUGCCAAGGGCCAAUGAAGGAAGAUACCUUCUUUCCAAGUGGGUCUCAAUUACCACCAAAAAUGUCAGACUUGGGGCACCACUUGGGUCCAUUUCCUUCCCCUAUCUUUAUUUCUGACUUUAUUUCCCCUUUAAAAGCCACAGAGCCAUCAGUCACUCAGCUGGCACCCCUGGGUAGGCAUCAAAUUCCCACUCUGCUUCUGUGCUCCGGGAGAACUCUCGGGCUCUGAUCUGACAAAGGAAAGAUGGCCUUCAGACCCUGAGGGCUGGUUGCUUGGCUUGCUGGGGUAUGGGAGGUGAGGGGGAGCCAUCUUCCUCCCUGAGCUGGGUGAUUGAUUUGCCUUCAUUCCAGGAAGCACACAGUUUGUACAUGGGCAGUAUGGACCAGGCCAUGGUCAGUACAGGAAGAGUCUUUUCCAGCAAUAGGGAACCAAGUCCUUGUUCCAGACUCCUGAGCAAGAGCCAGUAGAACCCAAUAGCGACACCUCCAGUACUGCUGCCUCCAUCAACUGCUACAAAAAGUUGGGGGGACAGACAUAGCCAGAAAUCUCUGGCUCCAAUAGAAUGAAUGGAGGUUUCUUACUGACAGGGCUUUCAGUGUGCCCUUUCAGAGGGUUCCCUUUUCCCAAGCCCAUGGGCAUUUCUAUUUCCAGAUACAAGCAGCUUGAUAGGAGACUGUGCUGGGUACUUCAUUCUCAAUAUUCUCCAAAUCUCAAGUGUGAUGAAGAACUCAGAAUCUGUGUCUCCAUUUCCACCACUUAGCCUUUUUCAUCCAAAGGGUUUCUGCAUGGACUUUAUGCAGAGCCAGUGUCUUAGAGUAAUAUCCUUUUCUUUCAGCUUGGGACUUUGGCGGUGUCCUUUGGAUGGUGAUAUAGGUCUUCCUUUGUGGCCACCCCCACACCCAAUGUGUGUAGAGAUACCCAGGGAGAGUGCUUGAGGGUAGUCGAAGCCAGUGGUUAGGGGAGGAUCCUGCCUCCUGUGUGGGAGAAGAAGAAGGGAUGAUAGACAUGUGCCCCUCUUUGAUUUGACCCAUGCCCAUUGGGUUGCAGAACUUGGACUCCUAUCCCGUUGCUGCUUUUCUCACCUGGUCACAGUCACCCACCAAGACCGAGGGGCUGCCCUGUCCACAACCAAAUUCCAAGGAUUGGAGGUCCUCAAGAAUACUGCCCAGGGGUGAACCAACUGCUCUUCAGAGUGAAAGCAUCUUUAACAGCCAUAAAAGAAGACAGGUCCUGAAGAAUACUGCAAAUGAAUGGGUGAACUGUCUGUGCUUCAGAUGAAGGCAUCUGUAGCAGCCAAUGGUUGGAGUUCUGCUGUCUAACUAUUACCAUGACAACUCCAGGCUUUCAAGCACCAAGUCAUCAGUGACUGUGGCUCUGUGGAAGUAUUCCUUCAACAAGCAAUGCCCUGGCCACUUCUGGAAGCUAAAUGCCCAUCUGGGAACCAUUUGCUUUUCCAUAUGAAGACAUCUCAAGCAGUCAGAGGAGAGAGGCAACCUGGGUAACCACCAAUACCAAGCCCCACAAGGUCAGUCAUAGGUAGUUAAUCAUUAUUUGGGGAUAUCAGAAACGGAUUGCUCUAGGCUAGCAUAGGAAUGCAGUGGGAGCUGGCCACCAAUCCCUGGGCAUUCGCUGUGUGAGUGAAAGCCCUACCACAUUUCAAUGUGACUCAAGACCUCCUUAGAAAAACAGCUAGGGGAUCAGAGUGGAUCCAUGAUGGGUCAAAGGUUUUCAUUUCCGCAGAGAAUAGGAUAAAACUGAGAGGAAACUGACGUUCCCUGUUGCUCUUCUGCCCACAGUUGAUGAUGCUUCUUCCUAAUUCUCUGGCUUUACCUAUACACCAACAUUUUGUCUGGCACCUUCAAGUGCCCUAUGUCUUUUUCUUGUGAAAACAUUUCUAAAAGGCAAGUCCCAAGGGGCUUUUUGCCCAACCUAUGCCAGAGUCAGGAUGACUUGGCCAGUCUCCCCAAUUAAAAUGAGGGGACAUUGCUCUUAGGUCUGGCCUUGAAUUCCCCAUAGUGGGGACUUACUUCAAAAAAGCAAGGGGAUGGGAGUGGGUACCCAGAAAGCCAAAGAUCUUCAUUUCACAUGAGAGUAGGAUAAUUCUGGGAAGAAAGAGAAUAGCACAGUCUCCUACCAAGCUCGCUGUUUUCUGAAGCAACAAACACAUGUGGGCUGGGUAAAUGGGAAUCAUCCAUCUGCUUCAUGAGGGAGCAGAAGGAAAGCUGAGGGCCAAACACAAGCUAGCAUUACCUGACCACCCCCACAUAGGAUAUGUGUGACAUUCCUCAGGCACUCCUGGCUGCCCAAGGGCAAAGAAAAUGACAGAAAACAAAUGGAGACUCCAUCAAUGGACAAGUAUCUUAGUAAAUCACAAGAAAAAGGCAGAGGCAUUGUGAGACCCAAGGUAUUUAACAAAAACCCCCUACCCCUGGACAAGCAGAGCAAGACUAACUCCAUUUUGUGCUACACCCACCAUCUCAUGUAUAACCCCCACAUGACCUACUUAUUGUUUAAGACAAUC